rnacentral:rRNA from 1 species
UACGUAGGGGGCAAGCGUUGUCCGGAAUCAUUGGGCGUAAAGAGCGCGUAGGCGGUCCGGUAAGUCCGCUCUGAAAGUCCGGGGCUCAACCCCGGGAGGCGGGCGGAUACUGUCGGGCUAGAGUCCGGAAGAGGCGACUGGAAUUCCUGGUGUAGCGGUGAAAUGCGCAGAUAUCAGGAGGAACACCGGUGGCGAAGGCGGGUCUCUGGGCCGAUAUUGACGCUGAGGAGCGAAAGCGUGGGGAGCGAACAGG